rnacentral:misc_RNA from 1 species
GUGGGAGGGGGCUUGCUCCCGAUGGCAGUGUGUCAGGCAGCUAAUCUGUAGCUGACACUCCGCUAUCGGGAGCAAGCCCCCUCCCAC